ACUGGGUCUGUCUCACGUCAAUCAUCUGUUGAAACCAAAUUCUCAUGAAAGAGUGUCUAAGGAAGGAGAAUAAAAAUAAACAGCUGCUUACCAAGCACAUUUACCAGAAAACAGUGUUUCAAUAUUGAUGAAGGUUUAGAUUAGAAUUUAGAAUAAUUCCACUCUCUCAAAUCCCUUUGCACUCUCCCCCAUCCCUAAAACCUUUUAUUGUCAUACCAGUUUUUCAUUACAUUAAAAGUCAAAACAGCACCAGUUACUUUUGGUAUAAAUGCUGAAAAGCAUCUCCUAUUACUUGAAGGCCUACAAAGGAUUUAGACUUCCACAUGUAAAAUGAUCGUGGCCUCUUUUCUAGGCUUUGUAAACUGACUUUUUGGGGUAUAACUUUCAUAGGUCACUUGGUGCACCAGAGUAAUUAAUUAAAGAAAAUAGUUCCUAGACUCUUCUGAGUUUGGGUGGAGUUUUAUCCAGUGCAUUUGAAUGACCAGGAAUAAAGCACUCCACUGUAGAUUCCACAUGCUCCUUACUCCCCACCUCCAUGCCAGCCCUGCUUCUAGCCUUUGGAAGUAGAUGUCUCCAGUAUCCUGACACCAUGUGUUCCUUCAGCUUUUGAUCACAUUACUCUCUCUUCAUAACUCUGUAGUCAUCCCACAUUCACUUUCUAUAUCAUAGAAACCUCCUGGCCCUCUGUUAGGAGAGACUGUUCAAGGUGAGCUUUUUGGCAUUUCAUAUCCCUGUUCUCCAUUUUACCACCACUCUGCUCUUUCACGUGAAAACCAACCUUCAACUGAGCCCAAAAGGUCCAUUCAUUCACCUUUUCUUCUAAAACCACUUAAGCUCUCUAACGCCUGUGUAGGUAUGGGUAUGGAUUAAAUAGUACUCAAAA
rnacentral:lncRNA from 1 species